AACGCACUCGCGAUGAAAUGUUCUUUGAGCUCAUGCAGUCCACUCAAACUGAAAGAGCCCAGCAGAAUGCGUGGAAACAGAGUCCAGGGAAGCACAAAAUGAACGCGAGGACAAGUGGCAGGAUCAAGAGAAAAGGUGGCGGCGGCAUAAUGAAAGGAGGCAGGUUGCAAUGCUGAGGCUACUGGAAGAUCAAACUGAUACGCUCCGGCCUAUGAGAUGCAGGAAAGUAGCACAGAUUGACUGCCUCUGCUGACAACAAAUUAAAAAACAUUCAACACAGAGUUUGAAGACAGUUAAUAGAAUAGGUACCAACUCGUUAAGUGACCUAAGUUGCACAGGAUGAAGUUCUGGCCCUACUCAAGUUCAUGGAAGUUCUGCUGUUGAUUCUGAAGGGGCCAGGAUCUCAUCAAUAGUCUUCUACAGCAUGAAAAGGUAAGCCAUUUUUGAAGCCUCAAAAGUAAUCUUAAGAUUUUCAAUUCACCAUAGUAUCCACCAUGUGCUACAUCAUAAACUCUGCAAAAUAAAAUAGCUUCUUCACAGCUACCUGUAAAGUACUUGGCACACUUUUUAUGCCACAAACAAUAAAGUCUUUGAAAGUGAUAUGGCAGACACUGAGAAAACAAGCACAUUUAAUGAAGUUUAUCCAUCUUCAUUUUUAUUAUGGUUUAACUCUAGUAAAAGCUAGGUAAAGUUUUGCUUUUAAAUGCAAUCUUUGGUACUGUCACUGACCAGCAGAAGUAAUUUCCAGACAAAUGUGUGGUAUAAGAGCUUAAUGCCAAACUCUCACUAUCUGCUUCUAAACUGGGAGUUGAAAAGGAGCAUGAGGUAGUUGGUGAGGAGGGAAGAGAAUGGUAUCCAGGAAGGCAGCAAUAAUACAUAUGGAAGCUUUUUGGGGCUGGGGGAGGACUUCAAAUAUGAUAAAUUAAAUUUUAAUUUAGUAACCUAAAUCAGUAAUCUUAGAUUACUCUCUGGGACACUGAUAUAAGGACAUUUACUGAAGUCAGUCAGUUCCAAAACCUAGGUGAAUUAACAUUAACAUUUACACCUUCUCAGGCAGUCAUAUCGCUCCAUAAGACUCAGCAUAUAUAACAGAACACAAAUGCAUCUAUUUUACCUUUGAAAUACUUACC